rnacentral:tRNA from 12 species
GCGCCCGUAGCUCAGCUGGAUAGAGUACUGCCCUCCGAAGGCAGGGGUCGCGCGUUCGAAUCGCGCCGGACGCACCA